AUUGAACGCUGGCGGCAGGCCUAACACAUGCAAGUCGAACGGUAACAGGAAGAAGCUUGCUUCUUUGCUGACGAGUGGCGGACGGGUGAGUAAUGUCUGGGAAACUGCCUGAUGGAGGGGGAUAACUACUGGAAACGGUAGCUAAUACCGCAUAACGUCGCAAGACCAAAGAGGGGGACCUUCGGGCCUCUUGCCAUCGGAUGUGCCCAGAUGGGAUUAGCUUGUUGGUGGGGUAGCGGCUCACCAAGGCGACGAUCCCUAGCUGGUCUGAGGGGAUGACCAGCCACACUGGAACUGAGACACGGUCCAGCCUCCUACGGGAGGCAGCAGUGGGGAAUAUUGCACAAUGGGCGCAAGCCUGAUGCAGCCAUGCCGCGUGUAUGAAGAAGGCCUUCGGGUUGUAAAGUACUUUCAGCGGGGAGGAAGGGAGUAAAGUUAAUACCUUUGCUCAUUGACGUUACCCGCAGAAGAAGCACCGGCUAACUCCGUGCCAGCCGCCGCCGUAA
rnacentral:rRNA from 1 species